rnacentral:rRNA from 1 species
CUACGGUGAAUACGUUCCCGGACCUUGUACACACCGCCCGUCAAGCCAUGGAAGUUGGGUGUACCUAAAGUCGAUAACCGCAAGGAGUCGCCUAGGGUAAAACUAGUAACUGGGGCU